AUGUUCUCUACAUCUCUGCUGCUGCUGCUGACCACUGUGACCUGUGUUCACAGUGUUGAGCUGACCCAGCCUGGAUCCAUGGUCAAAAUUCCUGGUCAGUCGAUGUCACUGACCUAUAAAGUUUCUGGAUAUUCACUGACUGAUUGGAGCUACUGUACAUACUGGAUAUGGCAGCCUGCAGGAAAAGCUCUGGAGUGGGUUGUAAGGACAUGUGGUGGUGGUUACACUGACUACAGCGAUAAACUGAAAAGCAGGUUUGAAGUUACCAGUGAUUCUACCAGCAGCACAGUGACCUUAAGAGGACAGAAUCUGCAGACUGGAGACACAGCUGUGUAUUACUGCCCUCGUCAAUGGCACAGAGAGACAACCCUGUACAAAAACACCCCUGCUAGUCUUUUAAAAGAUCACAGUCAGUACCACAUAAAACCAGGAGGGGCAGUCUUCACUAUUAAAACUCCAGUUUGA